rnacentral:rRNA from 1 species
GAUGAACGCUGGCUACAGGCUUAACACAUGCAAGUCGAGGGGAAACGACGGGGAAGCUUGCUUCCCCGGGCGUCGACCGGCGCACGGGUGAGUAACGCGUAUCCAACCUGCCUCUGACUGAGGGAUAACCCGUCGAAAGUCGGCCUAAUACCUCAUGGCAUCGUCUGCGGGCAUCCAACGACGAUUAAAGAUUUCAUCGGUCAGGGAUGGGGAUGCGUCUGAUUAGCUUGUUGGCGGGGUAACGGCCCACCAAGGCUACGAUCAGUAGGGGUUCUGAGAGGAAGGUCCCCCACAUUGGAACUGAGACACGGUCCAAACUCCUACGGGAGGCAGCAGUGAGGAAUAUUGGUCAAUGGGCGGGGGCCUGAACCAGCCAAGUAGCGUGCAGGAUGACGGCCCUAUGGGUUGUAAACUGCUUUUAUGCGGGGAUAAAGUGAGGGACGUGUCCUUCAUUGCAGGUACCGCAUGAAUAAGGACCGGCUAAUUCCGUG